ACAAACUUGGUCAUUUAGAGGAAGUACAAGUCGUAACAAGGUAUCCGUAGGUGAACCUGCGGAUGGAUCAUUGAAGGAUUUUGGUUUUUUUGUGGGGUGUGGAAUUGUUUGGUGUGGGGUUUGAUUUGAUUAGUUGGAGGUUGGAGGGACAUCUGCGGUUUGAGGCACUUUGGCAGUGUUGAAGUUACUUUGGCAGUGUUGGAGUUACUCUGCACCGUUGGAGUUACUCUUCACUGUUGAAGUUGCUCUGCACUGUUAGAGCUCCUCUGCACUGUUGGAGUGCUUCUUCUCAAACAACUCUUCAAAUCUUCCGCCCUGCCGUAUUGCUUGUCUUCAAUACUGACUUGAUAUCAAUCAAUUACAACUUUUAGCAACGGAUCUCUUGGCUCUCGCAUCGAUGAAGAACGCAGC
rnacentral:misc_RNA from 1 species